rnacentral:rRNA from 1 species
UAUGUAAUGUAGCUCUCUUCGGAGCAUCGGUGACAGGUGGUGCAUGGUUGUCGUCAGCUCGUGUCGUGAGAUGUUGGGUUAAGUCCCGCAACGAGCGCAACCCCUGUCCUUAGUAGCCAGCAGUUCGGCUGGGCACUCUAGGGAGACUGCCAGGGAUAACCUGGAGGAAGGCGGGGAUGACGUCAAAUCAUCAUGCCCCUUAUGACUUGGGCUACACACGUGCUACAAUGGCGUAAACAAAGGGAAGCGGAGCCGCGAGGCCGAGCAAAUCUCAAAAAUAACGUCUCAGUUCGGACUGUAGUCUGCAACCCGACUACACGAAGCUGGAAUCGCUAGUAAUCGCAGAUCAGAAUGCUGCGGUGAAUACGUUCCCGGGUCUUGUAC